UUAAGAUUUUGUAGUAGUUUAUUUUCAGAAAAUAGCAACCGAAAGGAAGUCGCAGUGGGCUGCCGCAUGAGCGUUAAGUUGGAGCCAACUAGCGUGGGAAAGGUUGAUUUUUGCAGAGACGUGACCGGCACAGAGGUGUACGGAAGGCUUAUACUGUGGAAUAGAGAAGAGAACGUGGUCUAAGUUUGUAGGUGAUGGCUAGCGCGUCUACACUUGCGGUUGUUGUUGGAGGUGGAAGGAGCCGGUAUUUUUUUGAGGUAGAC